rnacentral:rRNA from 1 species
AACCCCGGGCAAAGGGUAGGCGUAAAUCAAUUUUUCCCCCCAAAUUAKRAAAUNUGGACAAGUAUGAACGGCCACAUGAGGAUUUAACUGUCUCUUUUAGUUGCUCAAUGAACUUGAUCUUUCAGUACAAAAGCUGAAAUAUUCCCAUAAGACGAGAAGACCCUGCGGAGCUUAAGCUAAAACACUACUAUUAUAUAGUGCCUCCCUUUAGUUGGGGCGACUACGGAACAAAACACAACUUCCCUGCCACACAAUUAACCCCGCAACGACACACAUGUCACUGCACCCCGACCACGACCCAGUACUACUGACUAACGAACCAAGUUACCCCAGGGAUAACAGCGCCAUCCUCUUCUAGAGCCCCUAUCGCCAAGAGGGUUUACGACCUCGAUGUUGGAUCAGGACCUCCCGGUGGUGCAGCCGCUACCAGGGUUCGUUUGUUCAACGAUUAAUGUC